rfam:Salmo salar isolate Sally breed double haploid chromosome ssa18, whole genome shotgun sequence.
UGCAGGCAUGCCUGUAAGUCACUUGGGAUAAAAGUGUCUGCUAAAUGGCAUAUA